GAUGAACGCUAGCGCCAGGCCUAACACAUGCAGUCGAGGGAGAACCCUUUCGGGGGCAGAAACCGGCGCACGGGUGCGUAACGCGUAUGCAACCUACCUUUCACAGGGGGAUAGCCCGAAGAAAUUUGGAUUAUACCCCAUAAUAUUGUUGGAUGGCAUCAUCUGGCAAUUAAAGCUACGACGGUGGAAGAUGGGCAUGCGUCCUAUUAGCUAGUUGGAGUGGUAACGGCACCCCAAGGCUACGAUAGGUAGGGGUCCUGAGAGGGAGAUCCCCCACACUGGUACUGAGACAGGGACCAGACUCCUACGGGAGGCAGCAGUGAGGAAUAUUGGUCAAUGGUCGGAAGACUGAACCAGCCAUGCCGCGUGCAGGAAGAAUGCCUUAUGGGUUGUAAACUGCUUUUAUAUGGGAAGAAUAAGGCGUACGUGUAACGUUGAUGACGGUACCAUAUGAAUAG
rnacentral:rRNA from 1 species